GCGCAAGGGCGCCGGUUGGGCUGCUGGGGACUCAGAGCGCCGCGAGGGCCCGGCCUGCGUCGGGGUUUGGUGGUGUCGGAGCCUUUGCACAAAGUAGGUCCCUCUGGCACCCCGCCUGCGGCUUAGGACACGAAGAGGUUGAUGAAGUGGCGGAGGGAUGCCACGGUGGGCCGCUGUAGGCGACGAAGACAAGUCUGGCUGAGGAAGACCUGUGAGUCACCAGCAUGGACAUUGCCAUUAAGGCUGUGUUUUGCAGACAAGGCCAGUGAAAAUUGCUGGACAGACCCGAAUAUGUUGAAGUAAUCUCUGUGACUGAAAAUGCACGUGCCUGAGUGAGGACAGAUGCAGCAAGGUGUUUAGUCAGAAGACUCCAGUUUAGCAAUAAGUGCACAGAGGAGGCUGGGGCCUACAAAGUGGAAAAUUCUACAACAGUAAUACAAAAAGCCAUGGGAAGACAUGCUGUGCUCAGACAACCUGCACUGGGAUUACGCCUGGACACGCACCAACGCUGUCCCCCAGAUUGACGCUUGCAUCGAGCUUUUGUUCAUUUGCACAGGGCAUAAUUCCACUGAAGUUUCACACCAUCAUGUGAAAAGUAAGAAAGGGCCUUUGACUCCAGCAAGUGCCAAUUUCUGAAAGGACUACAGGAAGGAGCUGAUUGAGAAAGAGAAGAGAGUCCCUUUCAUCUGGAAAAGCUCUGAAUGCAAAGGGUGAGUGACCUCCUUGAAUCCCAGAGGCACUUCUCGUUAAAACCAAACUUGCCCGGUCACCACUCGUUGAAAGGAUGACUUGGCUGUCUCACUCCCAGCUGCCUGUUUCCACCCCCUGUCAGUCCCAGAAAGUGUGCCAGCAGAGGCAUUUUUAAAACUGCAUGGUGAACAGGACCAGGGGAAUGACCUGACCAAGUAACUGCCUGAUAAACAGAAAUAUUAUUUUCGAGUUGGAUCAGGUCCCCAGUCUGGUUGAAAGCUUGUGCAAACAUAUCUCAGUGCAACCCAGAAAUUAAGAGAGUAACCAAAAGCAAAAGGCGUAGAGGUGGUGCCCAGUUAAAAGGUCCAAUGAGAAAUUGUAUUAGUUUCGCCAUUCACGCAUCUUCCUUCAGUCCAGACUUUAUGAGAAAAACAAUCUGUGUAUCAUUUGUUAAAUUUAAAUAUGCUCAAAGCAAAGGCUGUAGUGGUAGGAGAAGACCAUAUUCUUCAAAUUUAUUUGACAGUUAUCAUCAGCAAAACAGAACAUUCUUGGAAGGUGUGUCUAAUUUAUAUGGGAGGUUUUCCUUCCUAGGCUCCGAGCUAUACGCUUUUCGGGUAAUGGAACUUUUUUUAACCCUCAGACUCAAUUUUCACUUAACUGUAGGUCAUGCAAAAUUACUAUCCUUGAAUUCUGUCCACACAUGCGUGAUGAACAAGUUAGUAUGGUGGAAGCACACGCUAAUAGCGAAACUUAACCGCGCAGGUAUUUCUUUUUAGCCUUUUCAAAAUUAGAUAGGAAAGAGAAACAAAUCGUGGCUGAUUCAACUGGAACAAAAUGACAUAGUACCUUGAAGUGUGUUACCAUAAGUGAAAUGUAGA